GACGAACGCUGGCGGCGUGCUUAACACAUGCAAGUCGAACGGAAAGGCCUGCUUUCCCUUGUGGAUUGCGGGUACUCGAGUGGCGAACGGGUGAGUAACACGUGAGUGAUCUGCCCCCAACUUGGGUAUAAGCCUGGGAAACUGGGUCUAAUUCCCGAUAGGACUGCAGGGUGGUGCCUGUGGUGGAAAACGAUUUUCUAGUGGUUGGGGAUGAGCUCGCGGCCUAUCAGCUUGUUGGUGGGGUAAUGGCCUACCAAGGCGGCGACGGGUAGCCGGCCUGAGAGGGUGGACGGCCACAUUGGGACUGGGAUACGGCCCAGACGCCGACGGGAGGCAGCAGUGGGGAAUAAUGCACAAUGGGCGGAAGCCUGAGGCAGCGACGCCGCGUGGGGGAUGACGGCCUUCGGGUUGUAAACUCCUUUCGACCGCGAGGAAGCCACCUGGUUGGAAGGGUGGUGACGGUAGUGGUAGAAGAAGCACCGGCUAACUACGUG
rnacentral:rRNA from 1 species